AGAAAACUGUGUAAAGAUGAGGUUAUUUGGAGUGCAGAUCCGUACUGUGUGGUCUGAGCCCGAUGCACUGAACUCCAGACCUGGAACUGUGGUUUUUGGGAGUUUCCCGCUGCUCUCCAGAGAGGUGACUGCAACUUCUCCAGAAUUCUGGGCAGCCUUCAAGCCUGCUGGCUUGGAAACUGAAGCACCAGAGCUGCAAUCACUCAGGUUUUGUUUGCCAAGGAUUUACCCAGAGCCCUGGGCAGCUCUGACUUUUUGCCUUACCUAAGGCAAGGAGAUUAGAUAACAGCUUGGAAUGAGAGUGAAGAAAGUCCAUGCACAUGGAGUAUCUUGCUGCCUCAGCUGUUGGUGAGAUCAUGGGGAUGCCUUUUGGGCUGGUAUUAGUCCAGGAUAUUAUUCUAAAUGGGAGUUCAGCAUAUCUUGGUUGGAUACUUUGCUGGAAAACUUGCACCUGCAUCAUAUGGGCAUUUGGCAUCAUCUAGGCUUUGGAAGUCUCGUGUGCCUGUGCUUUGGAGUUUUAAGGGGUGCAAGACCAUGCAGUGUGGUGGUUAUAUCCAGGAGACAUGAGGGGAGGCCUAAUAAAGAGACAACUGAGUGGCCUGGAUUGGUUCUAUGAAGAAUGCAAAACAAUCCUGGGCCAUCUCAGAGUAAGCUGCACUCAUGGUGCCUCUUGAACCCAUGUCCUGUUAUUGUUGGUGUGGAACAUGAGUGUCUGGGCCAAUGAAAAUAAGGAAGGCAGCUUGACAGACACAGAUUUUAUCUUUUGAGAUUCGCCAUGACCUUUCUAGUGUUUAAUAAAUAAAGUUGACUCAGGAAUUGGCAAGUGCCCUAUAACAUGCAGUCCCGGUGUCGGGACUCGGCAGAAUGUUCUGCUUAGCAAUGCACUCUGUGAGCUUUGUUUGCCAAGUUCCUAUUUUGGAGGUGUGCUGAAGGGCUGAGCAAUGGCAGAUGCUGAACCUUCUGCAGGCAGGUGCACUGGGCCCAGCAUCUCUGCCCAUGCUGAUCCAGGCUGGAUGAAGGUCAUGCUGAUGCAAACUUUAAUUGCUGGGCAAGAAAAAGAAAAGGCAUGUCUUGCAAAGUAAGAAUGCUGCUUGCACUGGUGCAAAUCCUGGGGCAAGGAGAACUUCCAUCCUUUCACAUUACUGUAUAACCCAUCAAGCAUUUCAAUCAGCACCGAACAGUAUUGCUUCCUGUAUUGCCUUUUGAGCAGCUCUGCCAUGCACUGUGGAUCCUGCGAUAUUAAACAUCUCCAUCAUCCAGAGGAUGUGGCCAAUUUUGCAGGUGACAGGAAUGGCAGCUCUGAGGCUUGCCUGCUGCCGGUGAAUCCCUGCCAAGCCAUCUCCUCUGCUAACUGAUUGAGAGCAAUCACAGCCAGGUUUCCUGAGCUAACCCUGGUGGCAGGGGCAGCAAAACACAGUGCUCCAUUGAAAACAACUGGGAAUCGUUUACUGCUAAACUUGAAGCCAUUCUGUGAUGGUAACAUAUCAGACUGAAGUUACUCUGCAGAGCAAAAACGCGCUGGAGAGGUGGAGGACCAGCACUUGAUCUGGAAGCACCACGCGGGACUUACGAUCCUCCCAGGACGAGUUUGAUGGUUUUCUUCCCAUCAGAAGCAUGAGGUUGUGCUCUGGGGUCAGGAUGUCGGUGACACACAGAUGACACGGAGCACUGAAGCCUGCGUGUGAAUCAGGUGGCUGCUGUGCACCGGAUGUGUGCCCGUGCUGCAAAACACGUGUCCUUGUUGUGCUUCCUCGAGAGAUGCAUCUGCUGAUGUCAGCUUCCAG
ensembl:lncRNA